GAUAAACACUAGGGGUGCUUUUGCUGAGAGAGGCCGUUGCCUUAACCCUUGAACCUGCACUAGGUAAUGCUAGCGGAGGGAAGUGGACAUAUGGACGG
rnacentral:ncRNA from 2 species